rnacentral:lncRNA from 1 species
AUGCGUUCUCUACACCAUGAGUCCGCGGCACCCUUGAGGACUAACCGGAUAUUUCAUUUGUUUUCGGACCCGAGGAGCCGAGACCGGUGCCCGGCACGCCGCGAUGCAAACCGGGAGGACUGGUCAUUUCAGGCGCCGUCUCCCGGCUCGCCCCGGUCCUCCCCGCCGUUCCCCCCGCCAGGACGGCUCCACGACCUCCGCGCUCAGGGCGGGCUCCCGUCCGUCACCCAACCCCCCCAGCAGCCAGUGUCCGGGGCGCCGAGCCGCGCUGGGGCGGUGACACCACCCGCCCUCGCGUCCCCGCCGCCCGCUCGGGGCUGGGGUGUCGGGAGGCCAGGAGCGCGCCCCGCGCGGGGACGACCCUCCCGGGGCAGGUGGGGAAAUGGAGGCGGGGCUGGGGGGGCGCAGAAGUCCAAGGUCACACGGCCGGCUCGGUGCGUGCGCUCGGCCCGCGGGCCGCAGCAGCCUCGGAGCCCGGCCCCCGCCCCGCCGCGCCGCGCCGCGCCGGGGGGACGUCUCACCGCGGCCGCCCGCUGCCCGCUCGCGCUGCGCCGCACUCCCCGCCGCCGAGCUCUCGGUCCCCCGGGCGGCGGCGGCCGCCGCUUCCACUUCCGGCGCGCUCGGCCAAUCAGCGCGCGCCGCCCCCGGCGGAGGAACAGGUGGGCGGCCCGCCCGCGCCCCCUCGCCCGCCCGGACGCGGCUCGCCCCGGCCGGGCCCGCCCCGCGCCGCGCCCCUCCGCGCCCCUCCCGCGCCCCUCCCGCGCCCCCGCGCCCCCCCGCCGCCCCCCGCGGGGCCCGCUCCCCGGAGACGCCCCCCGGCGCCCGGCGGCGCCCGCGUCCCCCCGCGGAAUCACCGACGAGCCGGGUCCUCCGGCCGGCCUAGACCGGCCCCGGGAACGCACUUCCGCCGCGGGGUGGGCCGCUCUGCGCGCCGCGGUCGCUGCCCCCGCGUCCACCUGCGCCCGAGCGGGCGGCGCCCCCCUCGCCCUCGGCGCCCCCUCCCCGCGGCCCACAGCCUGUCAGCCCCCUCCCCCGAGCGCCUGCGGCCUGGCGGGCGCGGACGCCUGCUUCCUGGGAGCGGGGCGUGCAGGGAGUCGGCUCGGGGGUCCGGCGGGGGCUUGCUCGCGGGAGCGCCCCGGGGUGCCUCCGGCGGCCGUGUGA